rnacentral:rRNA from 1 species
AACGCGAAGAACCUUACCCACCUUUGACAUGUACGGAAUUCGCCAGAGAUGGCUUAGUGCUCGAAAGAGAACCGUAACACAGGUGCUGCAUGGCUGUCGUCAGCUCGUGUCGUGAGAUGUUGGGUUAAGUCCCGCAACGAGCGCAACCCUUGUCAUUAGUUGCUACAUUCAGUUGGGCACUCUAAUGAGACUGCCGGUGACAAACCGGAGGAAGGUGGGGAUGACGUCAAGUCCUCAUGGCCCUUAUAGGUGGGGCUACACACGUCAUACAAUGGCUGGUACAAAGGGUUGCCAACCCGCGAGGGGGAGCUAAUCCCAUAAAACCAGUCGUAGUCCGGAUCGCAGUCUGCAACUCGACUGCGUGAAGUCGGAAUCGCUAGUAAUCGUGGAUCAGAAUGUCACGGUGAAUACGUUCCCGGGCCUUGUA